rnacentral:rRNA from 1 species
UACGAAGGGGGCUAGCGUUGCUCGGAAUCACUGGGCGUAAAGGGUGCGUAGGCGGGUCUUUAAGUCAGGGGUGAAAUCCUGGAGCUCAACUCCAGAACUGCCUUUGAUACUGAAGAUCUUGAGUUCGGGAGAGGUGAGUGGAACUGCGAGUGUAGAGGUGAAAUUCGUAGAUAUUCGCAAGAACACCAGUGGCGAAGGCGGCUCACUGGCCCGAUACUGACGCUGAGGCACGAAAGCGCUGGGGAGCAA